CCUACGGGUGGCAGCAGUCGAGAAUCAUUCACAAUGGGGGAAACCCUGAUGGUGCGACGCCGCGUGGGCGAAUGAAGUUCUUCGGAUUGUAAACCCCUGUCAUGUGGAAGCAAAUUAAAAAGAUAGUACCACAAGAGGAAGAGACGACUAACUCUGUGCCAGCAGCCGCGGUAAUACAGGGGUCUCAAGCGUUGUUCGGAAUCACUGGGCGUAAAGCGUGCGUAGGCUGUUUCGUAAGUCGUGUGUGAAUGGCGCGGGCUCAACCCGCGGACGGCACAUGAUACUGGGAGACUAGAGUAAUGGAGGGGUAAGCGGAAUUCUCGGUGUAGCAGUGAAAUGCGUAGAUAUAGAGAGGAACACUCGAGGCGAAGGCGGGUUCCUGGACAUUAACUGACGCUGAGGCACGAAGGCGAGGGGAGCGAAAGGGAUUAGAUACCCGUGUAGUC
rnacentral:rRNA from 1 species